rnacentral:rRNA from 1 species
CCCCUUGGGAUUGGACCCGGCCCAAUUCCUUCGGAGGCAGCAUUGGGAUUCUUGGCAAUGACGAAAGUCUGACCGAGCAACGCCGCGGAAGGAAGAAGUUUUCGGAUCGUAAAAUUCUGUUGUUAGAGAAGAACAAGGAUGAGAGUAACUGUUCAUCCCUUGACGGUAUCUAACCAGGAAGCCACGGCUAACUACGUGCCAGCAGCCGCGGUAAUACGUAGGUGGCAAGCGUUGUCCGGAUUUAUUGGGCGUAAAGCGAGCGCAGGCGGUUUCUUAAGUCUGAUGUGAAAGCCCCCGGCUCAACCCGGGAGGGUCAUUGGAAACUGGGAGACUUGAGUGCAGAAGAGGAGAGUGGAAUUCCAUGUGUAGCGGUGAAAUGCGUAGAUAUAUGGAGGAACACCAGUGGCGAAGGCGGCUCUCUGGUCUGUAACUGACGCUGAGGCUCGAAAGCGUGGGGAGCAAACAGGAUUAGAUACCCUGGUAGUCCACGCCGUAAACGAUGAGUGCUAAGUGUUGGAGGGUUUCCGCCCUUCAGUGCUGCAGCUAACGCAUUAAGCACUCCGCCUGGGGAGUACGACCGCAAGGUUGAAACUCAAAGGAAUUGACGGGGGCCCGCACAAGCGGUGGAGCAUGUGGUUUAAUUCGAAGCAACGCGAAGAACCUUACCAGGUCUUGACAUCCUUUGACCACUCUAGAGAUAGAGCUUCCCCUUCGGGGGCAAAGUGACAGGUGGUGCAUGGUUGUCGUCAGCUCGUGUCGUGAGAUGUUGGGUUAAGUCCCGCAACGAGCGCAACCCUUAUUGUUAGUUGCCAUCAUUCAGUUGGGCACUCUAGCAAGACUGCCGGUGACAAACCGGAGGAAGGUGGGGAUGACGUCAAAUCAUCAUGCCCCUUAUGACCUGGGCUACACACGUGCUACAAUGGGAAGUACAACGAGUUGCGAAGUCGCGAGGCUAAGCUAAUCUCUUAAAGCUUCUCUCAGUUCGGAUUGCAGGCUGCAACUCGCCUGCAUGAAGCCGGAAUCGCUAGUAAUCGCGGAUCAGCACGCCGCGGUGAAUACGUUCCCGGGCCUUGUACACACCGCCCGUCACACCACGAGAGUUUGUAACACCCGAAGUCGGUGAGGUAACCUUUUGGAGCCAGCCGCCUAAGGUGGA